rnacentral:rRNA from 1 species
UACGUAGGGUGCAAGCGUUGUCCGGAAUUAUUGGGCGUAAAGGGCUCGUAGGCGGUCCAUCGCGUCGGGAGUGAAAAGCUGGGGCUUAACCCCAGUCCUGCUUCCGAUACGGGUGGACUAGAGGUAGGUAGGGGAGAUCGGAAUUCCUGGUGUAGCGGUGAAAUGCGCAGAGAUCCGGAGGAACCCCAGAGGCGAAAGCGGUCUCCUGGCUCGCAACUGACGUUCAGACACGACAGCAUGGGGAGCGAACGGG